AUUUAUAUAGUUUAAAAAACAUCUCAUUUUCAAUGAGAAGUUAGGCAUACCCUUAUAAAUA
rnacentral:tRNA from 1 species